UGAUAAUAAUACAAAAAAAAAAAAAAUGUAAAAUAAACAUCAUUGUGAAACCGAUGUAUUCUUCGCUCCACUCAGAAUCUGAAAAAAUAAGAAAAUCCGUGUCGACUUGCCGACACGGUGGGCGGUUUUUUUUUUUCUUUUUUCUGAAGACAUUCAUUUAUUUAAAUACGUAAUCCAUUGUCGAAUACUCUACUCGAGAAAAUAUUCUUUGCCCGAUCGUUCCUCGAAAGUUCCUCCGGCACAACAGUACGAACACGGGGCCCGUAUUGUUCGAACGGUAAUUCGGAAUUCGUA